rnacentral:rRNA from 1 species
AGUGAACGCUGGCGGUAGGCCUAACACAUGCAAGUCGAACGGCAGCACAGUAAGAGCUUGCUCUUACGGGUGGCGAGUGGCGGACGGGUGAGGAAUACAUCGGAAUCUACUUUUUCGUGGGGGAUAACGUAGGGAAACUUACGCUAAUACCGCAUACGACCUACGGGUGAAAGCAGGGGAUCUUCGGACCUUGCGCGAUUGAAUGAGCCGAUGUCGGAUUAGCUAGUUGGCGGGGUAAAGGCCCACCAAGGCGACGAUCCGUAGCUGGUCUGAGAGGAUGAUCAGCCACACUGGAACUGAGACACGGGCCAGACUCCUACGGGAGGCAGCAGUGGGGAAUAUUGGACAAUGGGGGCAAGCCUGAUCAAGCCAGACCGCGUGGGUGAAGAAGGCCUUCGGGUUGUAAAGACCUUUUGUUGGGAAAGAAAAGCAGCAGGUUAAUACCCCGCUGUUCUGACUGUACCCAAAGAAUAAGCACCGGCUAACUUCGU